rnacentral:lncRNA from 1 species
CUUAAUUUUUUGAUAGGAUCUUGGUAUCUUGUCUAGGCUGGUCUGGAGCUCCUGGGCUCAAACAGUUCCUCAACUUACCAAGUAGCAGAGGCUACAUGCAUCAGCCAUCACACCUGGUCAGUAACAGGAACUCAGCUGUCCUAAGGGAUUUAAAGCUCUUGUCUCUCUCAGAUAUUCUACUCCAAGUCCUACACCAUCUACACGUAUUGUUUCCUGACUUAAUCAGUUCAUAUGAAACAAUAUUAAUAUUUUUCAAGCAUGGCAUUCUGAGUGCGAAGUGCUUUUACCUGUAGAUAGCAGACCAGCCAUGGAAAUGUAGAACUUGCCCUGUUGGUCCAAGAUGGCAACCCCCUAUCCAGUGCAAGCAGGAGUCCAAACUGUCUCUGAAUUUUAAGGCACAUGGACAAGAUUUCCUGAGCACCCAAAAUGUCAGAUUUUUAAAUCUCCAUUUUGUAAUAAGCUGGAAUUCUGAAGUGUUGAUGUGCAUAUUGGGGUUUGAACCCUGGUCUCUCUGGUUUCUCUAUUUUCAUCCCUACAGAGGUUUUUCUCUCCCGAUCCCAGGGCUGCAUUCCCGCCCUUGAUCUGCCACAGGCUAUUUCAGAAUCUUUCUUCUUCCCUGGACACAUUUCCAAUUGAGACUCUUCCUCACCAGGCACAUUGCUGAUGUGAGGCUUUUAAAGUUUCCUCAGAAAAGAAAAACAGAAAGAAAGAA